GAAUAAAAGCGAAACAGAUAUAUUAAUGAAAGAAAAAGAGGACCACAUAGAAGCUCUUGAACAGCGUAUGCAUGCUUGCCAGCGCAAUUUACAGAGCAUGGAACAAAAUCAAAGACAACAAGCACAGAAAGUAUCAACUUUCGGAAAAGAUAACAAUGUUAUUGUUGACGAGAUACGUUUACUCAAAGAACGAGUUGAACGGCUUGAAAGAAAAACAGACCAAACACCGACGAAUGAACUCCUUCUUCCAACAGACGAAAUUCU